AGUCAACCUAACCUAUGGACGGGAAUAACCUCGGGAAACUGAGAAUAAUGCCCGAUAGAACAUUAUGCCUGGAAUGGUUUAUGUUCCAAAUGAUUUAUCGCCGUAGGAUGGGACUGCGGCCUAUCAGUUUGUUGGUGAGGUAAUGGCCCACCAAGACUAUUACAGGUACGGGCUCUGAGAGGAGUAGCCCGGAGAUGGGUACUGAGACACGGACCCAGGCCCUAUGGGGCGCAGCAGGCGAGAAAACUUUGCAAUGUGCGAAAGCACGACAAGGUUAAUCCGAGUGGUUUCUGCUAAAGAAACCUUUUGUCAGUCCUAGAAACACUGGUGAAUAAGGGGUGGGCAAGUUCUGGUGUCAGCCGCCGCGGUAAAACCAGCACCUCAAGUGGUCAGGAUGAUUAUUGGGCCUAAAGCAUCCGUAGCCGGCUCUGUAAGUUUUCGGUUAAAUCUGUACGCUCAACGUACAGGCUGCCGGGAAUACUGCAGAGCUAGGGAGUGGGAGAGGUAGACGGUACUCGGUAGGAAGGGGUAAAAUCCUUUGAUCCAUUGAUGACCACCUGUGGCGAAGGCGGUCUACCAGAACACGUCCGACGGUGAGGGAUGAAAGCUGGGGGAGCAAACCGGAUUAGAUACCCGGGUAGUCCCAGCUGUAAACUAUGCAAACUCAGUGAUGCAUUGGCUUGUGGCCAAUGCAGUGCUGCAGGGAAGCCGUUAAGUUUGCCGCCUGGGAAGUACGUACGCAAGUAUGAAACUUA
rnacentral:rRNA from 1 species